AGUCACUGACAUUAGAUACCCCUGUAGUCCAGGGUGUAAACGCUGCAGACUUGGUGUUGGAAGUCCUUUGGGGGCAUUCAGUGCCGGAGAGAAGUUGUUAAGUCUGCUACUUGGGAGUACGUCCGCAAGGAUGAAACUUAAAGGAAUUGGCGGGGGAGCACCGCAACGGGAGGAGCGUGCGGUUUAAUUGGAUUCAACACCGUAAACUCACCAGGGAAGACUGUUACAUGAAGGCCGAGAUGAAGGCUCUGCCAGAUUUUCAG
rnacentral:rRNA from 1 species